UGGAUCAAUAAGAGGAUGGUAGAUG
rnacentral:piRNA from 1 species